GUGCUGUGGGAACGGUACAGCAAGUCAUCCAUUUUUCCUUAGCUGUAGACUUGUUUAACUACCUGGAAUAUAAACCAUGCUGAGGAAAGCGCUUAAGCCAAUGCAGCGCAGCCUUUUCUGAGGGUUGUUUUCAGAAGUGCAGCGCUCUGUGGCUCACAGCAUGGACAAAUUCUGCACAUACUUGGGCAUUAUUAAGUAAUAAGAAUGCAGUGAAUACUGGAAUACUUGGCUAUAAUUCUGCCUUAGCAACCCAACUUUUAUGCACUGGCUGUUUAAAGGCAGGGGGAGAAACACUUAUUUCAUUGAAAUUAAUAAUAUAUGUGAUUAAAUGAGAAAUACCUAAUCAGGCUUUAAAUAUUACAUGAUGGAAGUUGUAGAGCUUCUUCUGUCUCAUAUAGACAUAAACAUCUGGCACCCAAUGAAACUAAUAAUGAUGAGACGCUGGCUGUGCUGCAAGCAAGAGGAAAGCAGAUUUGCAGGCUUGUUUUCUGCUUUGUCUGUCUUGGUGCAGUAGCAAACAGACAAACUGCCAACCAAUUCCAUUUCCAUCCUGCAACCUGUAGACUGGUCUGUUUCAGGGCAAGUGCUAGUGGUUUGCAGUUCUCAGAAAUCCUGAAUCAGAUUUUUUUUGCAGUUGUUUCUAACCAAGUUAGUUUUGAUCUGGAAUUUGAGAUUUGUCUUCUCCCUGUUGGUCACUGACAAUAGCAUGAUCAUUUUUCACAAAUACCUGAAGAUCAGUUUGGCCUCAGUCAGAGGCCAAUUUCUGUCUCAGACAGAAAUAGUUACACUCUGCAGUGCAGUGAGUCUCAUCAUCUCUGUGCUGUACAGAUUACCUUACGCUCUCUGUUGGACCGUCUGACUGGCAGUGAACAAUGGCUUUUAUUCAAGAAACUCUGAAUGCUAGGCAUCUGAGUAUGUCAGUAAAGGAAACCUGAAUACAUGGAAUAAAAACAAAUUAAGAAGAAAUAAGGAUUAGAGGACAUUAGAAGAAAUAAACUUAUUUCCAUGAACAAGUAAUUGAUACAGGAAUGAAAAACCAUCAUCAGAGCUCUUGGACAAGCUGAAGGAGAUGAUUGUCUUCAGUCAACUCUACUACCUGGUGUCAAGAAUCAAAAGUAGUUGCUCAAUCAUAAUCCAAAGAGAUUUUCAGAAACUGUACCACCACAGACAACCAGUCCAAUACAGUCCAGGCAAAAGGUUCUAUGCUGAACUGUCAGCUAUGAAAGGACAGAAUGUGACUUACUCAUUCUGUUUGAAUAGCUAUCACUUUUUGUUUCCUAUGUAGAGUAAAAGUAUAAAGCUACUUGAUUUUUCUUAUGAAGAUGAAAUGGAACUAAAAGAUAAUUUGUUAACUCUGGAUAUUGUUUACUGACCUAUGUUUAGCCUGAGAACAAAAUAAAAAUUUAGAGAUAGAAUUAGGGUUCUAAACUGAAUUUUAAAACCUAAUGAGAGGGGUUUGGUAGCUUUGAAUAAAAGGACGACAAUGGCAUUAUUAAUACUCUUGUCUAUGCAACUACAUUCCCAUUAUUUCCAGAAAUAGUAGUUGAGUAGCUUCCUGCCUAAAUAAACAGUUCACGUACAUGGAA